CGAUCAAAUCACGCUGAAAACAAACACAGGUUCUCGUUCGAUCACUGGGGUUAAGCGGUGUCGAGCCCGGUCAGUACUUAGAUUGGGAACCGCUUGGAAACACUUCAUACUGUCA